rnacentral:rRNA from 1 species
UACGAAGGGGGCUAGCGUUGCUCGGAAUUACUGGGCGUAAAGGGAGCGUAGGCGGAUAGUUUAGUCAGAGGUGAAAGCCCAGGGCUCAACCUUGGAAUUGCCUUUGAUACUGGCUAUCUUGAGUACGGAAGAGGUAUGUGGAACUCCGAGUGUAGAGGUGAAAUUCGUAGAUAUUCGGAAGAACACCAAUGGCGAAGGCAAUGUUCUGGCUCGUUUCUGACGCUCAGGUGCGAAAGCCAGGGGAGCGAACGGGAGUA